rnacentral:rRNA from 1 species
AACGAACGCUGGCGGCAUGCCUAACACAUGCAAGUCGAACGAGACCUUCGGGUCUAGUGGCGCACGGGUGCGUAACGCGUGGGAACCUGCCUUUAGGUUCGGAAUAACUCAGAGAAAUUUGAGCUAAUACCGGAUGAUGUCUUCGGACCAAAGAUUUAUCGCCUUUAGAUGGGCCCGCGUUGGAUUAGCUAGUUGGUGGGGUAAAGGCCUACCAAGGCGACGAUCCAUAGCUGGUCUGAGAGGAUGAUCAGCCACACUGGGACUGAGACACGGCCCAGACUCCUACGGGAGGAAGCAGUGGGGAAUAUUGGACAAUGGGCGAAAGCCUGAUCCAGCAAUGCCGCGUGAGUGAUGAAGGACUUAGGGUUGUAAAGCUCUUUUACCCGAGAUGAUAAUGACAGUAUCGGGAGAAUAAGCUCCGGCUAACUCCGUG